CUGUAAAACUCCAAGUGACAUUCUGACUGUGACAGACACUCAUCACAUCGGUCUUUCAGGCACAAUGAAGCUUGUUCUUCUUCAAACACUUUGCUUUGCUACUCUAUGGGUCAGCGUGGCCCCCAGUCGCAGGGGUGCUGUAAUGCAUGGGCUUUCCCAGGCUGAAGCCCAGGGGCCACUGCUAAAAAGCAACCUCACCAAGGGGCUCCAGUUGGCAACUUUGAUGAUCGCCACCCCACCCCCCACGGAUGCUAACUUUUACCUUGGGGAGGUCUGUGAAAACUCCCGACCCUGCAUGCCUGCCAAGAACAAUAAUGCCUACAACAUCUUCCUGGCAAGGCAUAUCCUCAGUGACACCCCAAACACCAGUGACAAGCAAGAAUGGAGGACGUUCUUACAUAACCACAACCUGUGCGACCCAAACAGGACCACACAGUCAUUCCUCCAAUACAAGGAUGAAAGCAUGAUCAAAAAAGUGUGUACCCCUGAAGGAGGGAAUAUCCAUAAGAAAAACCUGUGCAUCAGUAAGAACAAUUUCUCCUUCAUAACAGUGACAAUCGACAACAAUUGUAACAUCUCUGAAAUCACCAAUGAGACCAAGCACAUCAUCCUGGCCUGUGACACAAUCAACAAAAUUUGCAGGCCUGUUCACUUUCACGGAAGCCAAAGAAAGGGGAAUCUUACAGCUUUGCCGUGUUCCAACCGCCGGCCUGCUUCAGGCGUGCCAUAAUGUCCACAUUCACAACAGCCUUGCUUAUAGCAUCCAGAAUAUUCCAUGUAAAGUUUUCAUUAGUAUAGACGCUUUGCACUACUAUUCAUAAAAUGCAUGUCUAAUAUGUUAAGAAUAACGUUCAAAUUGCAGAAAGUAAUGCAUCUAUGGAAUGCUACAGAUAAAUGAUUCGGGGUGUCGGACGGACCCUGCGCUCAGAAAAGCUCAUCUGAUGAAUCUGUUCUCCUACUUGUACAAGUGGAAAAUAAAGCUUCAUUUCAUUACA